UACGGCGAGUGAAGCGGUAAAAGCUCAAAUUUGAAAUCUGGUACUUUCAGUGCCCGAGUUGUAAUUUGUAGAAUUUGUCUUUGAUUAGGUCCUUGUCUAUGUUCCUUGGAACAGGACGUCAUAGAGGGUGAGAAUCCCGUUUGGCGAGGAUACCUUUUCUUUGUAAGACUUUUUCGAAGAGUCGAGUUGUUUGGGAAUGCAGCUCAAAGUGGGUGGUAAAUUCCAUCUAAAGCUAAAUAUUGGCGAGAGACCGAUAGCGAACAAGUACAGUGAUGGAAAGAUGAAAAGAACUUUGAAAAGAGAGUGAAAAAGUACGUGAAAUUGUUGAAAGGGAAGGGCAUUUGAUCAGACAUGGUGUUUUUUUAAUGUGCAAGUCUCUCGUGGACAUGUGCCUCUGGAAAUUAACACUGGGCCAACAUCAGUUCUGGCGGCAGGAUAAAUCAUUAAGAAUGUAGCUACCUCGGUAGUGUUAUAGCUUUUUGGAAUACUGCCAGCUGGGAUUGAGGACUGCGCUUCGGCAAGGAUGUUGGCAUAAUGGUUAAAUGCCGCCCGUCUUG
rnacentral:rRNA from 2 species